rnacentral:rRNA from 1 species
UACGAAGGGGACUAGCGUUGUUCGGAAUCACUGGGCGUAAAGCGCACGUAGGCGGAUGUGUCAGUCAGGGGUGAAAUCCCGGGGCUCAACCUCGGAACUGCCUUUGAUACAGCACGUCUCGAGUCCGGAAGAGGUGGGUGGAAUUCCUAGUGUAGAGGUGAAAUUCGUAGAUAUUAGGAAGAACACCAGUGGCGAAGGCGACUUACUGGACGAUUGUUGACGCUGAGGUGCGAAAGCGUGGGGAGCGAACAGG